UUUAUAUCCAUUUUCCCCUUCAAUUCCAGGAAAUUAUAUUGUAUUUUUUAUGUUAAAGUUCUUGUCUUUUGUUUUCGUUUUGGGGUUUGAGGCUAAGAUUGUUGAUGGGUUUUUGGUAAUUUGUCUUGAAUGGGAAAAAGCAAAAGUGAUUGGCGUGGUUUAAGAGCAUUUUGGUUGUAUUUAAUGUUUGAAUUUCUUUGCUUUUAUUGUUUUGAAGGAUACCAUUUCAAAUAGGUGUAGUGAUACUUUUCCUUAAAUUGGGGAAUAGAAAGUGAUUAGUGUGAUUUAAGAGUGUAUAUGAUGGCAUUUUCUUUGGCCGUUGAGAAAAUGAGGGGUAAAAAUACUGUGCAAAAGAUAUUCUCCUACAGAAUAUUGAUUAAUUUUGCUUUUUGUUUCUUCCAGAUAAUUUAAUUAACUGAUUGAUUACAUUAGGAUAGACCCUGUUAUUAGGAUUUAGUCAUUUACUGGUUAUGAAGAAAGAGUUAUGUUAAAAAAAAAUAUGAUUGUGAAUUAUGCUGUGAGAUUUGCUACGGAUUUGGAUGUGAAAGGUUUUCCCUUUUUUGUUGUUUCUUUAACCUCCUUCAGUUGCUGGUAAUUACAUCUCCAUCUUAAGAGUUGGAAUGAUUCAUAAAGUCUAGUCAUCAUUGUGGCUUACUGCCUAUCCUUUCACCAUGUUGUUGUCAAUUUUAUGCCAUUACCUUUAAUUGGUGCCUGUGUUGAUUGGUGGUACUCCGAUGAUAUAUCUCAACAAAGUUACAGAAGGAUGCGUGGCAAACAUUGCUGCAAAACUUGAAUCCAUGGAACCUUGUCGGAGCGUCAAAGACAGGAUUGGUCUUGGUAUGGUACUGGAGGCUGAAGAUAGUGGAGCAAUUUCUCCUGGGAAGACCAUAUUAGUGGAACCGACAAGUGGAAAUACAGGACUUGGGAUUGCUUUUGUUGCAGCAACUAAGGGUUCUAAGCUUAUCGUAACUAUGCCUGCUUCUAUAAAUCUUGAAAGGAGGAUCCUUUUACGUGCAUUUGGAGCAGAGAUUGUUUUGACAGACCCAGAAAAGGGCUUGAAAGGAGCUGUUGAUAAAGCUGAAGAAAUUGUGCUCAACAAUCCAAAUGCCUUCAUGCUUCAACAGUUUGAUAAUAUGGCUAAUACAAAGAUUCAUUUUGAAACUACAGGACCAGAAAUAUGGGAGGAUACUUUGGGUAAUGUUGACAUACUUGUUGCUGGAAUUGGAACUGGUGGUACCGUUACAGGCACUGGAUGUUACUUGAAAAUGAUGAACAAAGAAAUUAAGGUAGUUGGUGUGGAACCUGCGGAGAGGAGUAUAAUCUCUGGAGAAAACCCUGGUUAUGUGCCAAGCAUCCUGGACGUUAAAUUGCUUGAUGAAGUUAUCGAGGUGUUUGGACUUGCAUUCAAAAUGAUGAUCUUGCAGGAUAAUAUUGCAUUUGAGUCCCUGCAUUCCACUAACAACUUGAUCCAUUGGGUCACCAAUGAUGAAGCUGUUGAUAUGGCAAGGAGAUUAGCACUUGAGGAAGGUCUGCUGGUUGGUAUUUCAUCUAGAGCUGCCGCAGCUGCUUCGAUUAGCUUAGUGAAAAGGCCUGAGAAUGCUGGAAAACUUAUUGUGCUUCAAGGCAGACAAUACAGCAUGCAAAUUUACAUACAGAAACCUCAAACAAACAACAGACGUAUAUAUUUCUGGUGUACACUAGCAUCGAGGUUAUAUUUCCUAGCUUUGGUCAGAGGUAUAUUCCAACUGUUCUUUUUCAUUCUAUCCAUGAAGAGGUUCAACAAAUGCAAGCAAGAUAGUGUCGAUUUGUUCUGGAAGAUUCAGAUUACCAUGGAAUUCAAUUCUCAUUCAUUCAAAUGGAAACUGGCCUCUGUACUAAUUGACAGGUGCAAUUUUCAUGAAGGCACCAGAGUCCAUACAAGAUUUCUCAUGAUAACUAACUUUCCAGUCAUCCUUUGACCAUGUUUUCCUACUGGUAUUUGAAAUUGUUUGGCAUACACAGUGCAUACCAUGUUGCUACCUACUGAUUGUACUAUUGUAGGACGAUCUCAGGGCUAAAGAGUAAAUUUGAAGAUGGGCAAAUUGUGAAGUAUGUGAUUGCAGCCAUUUCUCUGGUUGCUAAAUUUGGUACUUCUAGAGGCAUGUGAAACAAAUCCAGUUCAGUGAAGCUCCUCAUCUCUCAAGUUAUUGCUACGGGAAGUCGAAGUCAUUGUUUCAUAUCUCAUUCUCCCAGGUUGUCAUUUUCAACCCAACCGGCAAAGUUAUUCAGUUAACUUGUAAUAGAUAGCUGGAAAUCCACUUUUAGAAAAACAAUCGAUUUCCAACAUUUGUUUGAAUGCAGAGCAAGAAGAAUCAUCCGAGUUUCUUGUUUUGGUAUUUGAGGUUGUCAACAUUUGGACACUGAUAACUAGAACAAAGAGUUAAUCAUUUUACCAACAAAUCAUGUGAUUGUUGGUGAAUCAUCCUAGUUUCAAAUGCUAUUUUUGGUGAAAUUAUCUGUUUUGGGAAGUGAUCUGUUGGAUACAAGGCUAGAUAGUGCUAAUCGAGGAUUUAUGUCAUGAAAGAACUUCAUGCAUAAAGCUGGUUGAUAUCAGGGAUUCACGGAUCCCAUUAUUGGGAAUUUCUUUUAGAAAUACAAUCUCUUUUUUUGUUUUUUUUUUUUGGUUAAGCAAUAACUCGUACAAUACUUAAUCGUGCAAGAUAUAAUUAAUUUUCUUGUAAAUAAACAGUCCUCGAGUUUAAUGUAUCAAUGAUCAGUGGAAGAUUGAAUAGAUUUAGAUGAGAAUUUUUUAUGAACUUUCCAUUGAUGCAGUCCAAUUAAGCAAUGAUAUCCUAUCUUCAUUGAUGACAGAAAGCAAUCUCCAAAGAUUUUUCUAGAUGGUUUGGAUGUUCAUUCAAUCUAUAUGAUUGAUCCGUAUAAGCCCUUUAAACAUCAAGGAGCACUACUUUAAAUGAUUUCCAAA